AAGGGCAGCAGCCUUUGCCUGGACAGGCUCCAGCAGGGCUCGGGCAGCGCCGAGCUCCGCCAGCAGGGCCGGUGCUUUGAUCGCGGCUGCCCCGAGCCAUCGCACACCGGGCUCUGAAACGCGCCCCGCACCAACAGCCCCGCCAGGAAAACUCCUUCUCCCGGCUUUUCUGCCGCGAGCGAGCUCCGAUAGGCAUCGCCGAGAAUAAAGUCACUUCAUUUACAAACCGGGGAGCCAAAUCUGAUAGACAUCAACAUUCGAGGGGGAAAGGAAGGAAUGGAAGAGAUGGAAUUCUUUGUGAAGCUGAGUCGCUUUAGGGAGCGAUUUUGGGGGCAGGAGGGUGUCCGUGUCCCCCAGCAGCCAAGGGGGAAACCAGAAGGUCUGGGAACCAGAGGAGCAGCCCCAGGAGCACCUUCUCCACACCCUAUAACCAGCAAGUACCACACAGCAGCAAAAUCCCAUUAUUUAGCCACUUUGGAGAGGCAAAGAUGCUUUUAAUAUACAAUUGCACCUCGGAAGCAUAAAGGCAGCACAUUAAAUAACAAAGCAAUUGACUGCUGGGUCCCUUUGCUGGGCCACAAAAACCGGGGCUCAGUGGCUAAUUAUUGCUGGGCAUCCCUGUGCCUCUCCAAACAUACCAAUGCUUUCAGAAACCCACCCCAGCUGUGCCUGACAUUUCACUCCUAUUAAAAUUCAUCAUUCUCCUGAAUGGAAAUAAUUUUUUUCUUUAGCAAACCCAGGUAGUAAUGAAAGUUUUAUUUAGUAAUGCAGUGUUUGGUGGGAAAAGGGGCAGAGAAAAGGGAAGAGAAAUUGAGAUUAUCUUUUUAAAAAGGGAACUUCAGCUGGGGGGAAAGAUAUUGCUGGGUAUUUCUUGGGCGCAGGGGGCCAUUUUCGGUGCCAUGAUGGGGGUUUGGUGUCACAGCUCUCGUUAACGCUAAUGGGAUCAGAACAGCAAAACACCUGGAAAAAAGCUGUAACACAAACACAGGUGAUGCAGCGAGGCUGGAGCCGGGCGGGUCCGGGGGAUGUGUGAGAGGAGCGGUGAUUUGUAUCGGAUUGUGCCACAUUAAAGCAGGACCAGAGCAGCGGUACCGGCCCCGGCCCCGGGCGCUGCUCCCGGCUCCGCCACCGCCUUCCCCCGCGGCAUUCCCGGCGCUUUGAGCCGCCCUUUCCCAGCCCGCCCGGCACAGCAGGGAAGGGUUUGGGGUUUAUCUUCCCUGGGGAACCCGCGCCCUCCCGGGGGCGGUGGCUGCGGGCUCAGCUCUCCCACACGAGCCCUUCUCCUCGUCGGGACAAAAAACGGUCCAGGGACAGCUAAAGAUGAUUUGGGCCGAUCCCAAAGGAUGGAUGCAUCUCAAGAUACCCGAGAGACAGGUCGUGAACAGCCGGAGGAGGAUGGGGGGGCUGGGGCAGCGCAGCUCAUCCUCCUUCAUCCUCCAUCCCACCUCCUCCUCCUCCUCCCGGAGCGCGGGCGUGGGAACCCCUGCGGGGCGGCCGGAGGGCUUUGAUCUCAGCCUGAGCGCUGGAGCGACACAACCAGCGAUGAAAGGGCACGGCAGUGCCAUGAGGAGGCGUUCCGUGAGGGAAGGAGCUACCGAGCAGCGUGCUUGGGACGUGGGCACCGUGUCAGCCUCAGGGCGCUCUCCCCUUCCACCCUCGUGCGAAUGGGCAGAAUUGCAAAUACCCAAAAUAAUCGAGGAUGGGCGGCACUGCAAAAGCAGCUGCUGUGCCCCUGUGAUGCCAUGGAAAAAGAGAGCAGCUGCUGGGAAUGGGGAAGGAUGGAGGCAACCCUGGGACUGACCCAAAGCCGUCCCUGUGUCCUGCAAGCCCCCCUGAGCACCUGCCCAUUUCCAAACCCUCUGCAAAAGGAGUCACAUCUCACCCCCUUUUCCCUGAGGCCUCCCAGAGCUUCAUCCCCAUCCAGGCACCAGCAGGGCCAUGAUGUGGCACUGCCACCCCGGCACUAAACCCAGCCUGAGACCCUGAACACAGCAGCCUCUGGCUAGCUCCCAAAUGUUUAGGCUGGGGAAUCUGAAGAGUUCAGCUGAAGCACGGUGGGGAAAAAUAAAUAAACCAACCAAUAUGUGCAUGUUCCACAUCUGCCUGUGCAUGGAAGGCCCCACAAGGACACGAUGUGAGGCUCACCUGGCUCCUCAGACAGCACUUGCCAUGGGCUGCACCUCCUGCUGUCAGUCCUGCUUGGCACUAAUUAGCAUUGAUAAUUGCACGGAUGGUGACCAUCAUUUUCCUGCCCUCUCUCCCUACCUUCACACAGGGGUUCAAUUGCCUAAUGAGGCCCCUGAGGAUGAUCAGAAAGGAGCAGGUUCCCCCACCACCACGGCAGCUCCUGCAAAACGUGAGGGGAUGGGAGAGCAGAGAAGAGAAAGGCACAGCCCAGCUGCUGGAUGGGGAAAGCUGCCGAGUCUUGUUUACUCGAGGACACAGAGAAAAGUUCACUCCAAUUAAUUUUUUUAAGUGGAUGGGCGUUAAUCCCCCUACACUUAUCUAGAAUUAAUGCAGCCUUAAGUAGAUUUUUGCCUAAUCCACUUCCACAUCCGCCCCAAAAGGACACUGUCUGUUUUGGGAAGGAGCAGAGUUCAGCUAAUCCACUUAAAAUUCACAGGGCUGGUUUGUUCAGAUUAACCUCCUCCAGCAUUUCCCUCCAGAGACAGGCCAGGAUGGGGCCACCCCCUCCACGGUUGUGUCACCUGCAAUGCAGCUGCUGGGGUCUGCAGGGACACGGAGAUGUCCCCAAAACAGCCACUACAGCAGAGCAGUGCAGCAGGGUGGGACAGCCAGGGGAGUCAGGGCUGUUUGAAUUCCAAUGGCAGAAGAAGCAGCAAUGCUCAGACACAGACAGAAGGGGGGCAGCUAUGCCUGGGCUGGAGGGGUGAUCUAAGUGCUGGUCUGUGGAGGACAGCCAGCCAAAAGUGACAGCCCUGGGACACCACCCCAAGUGCCAGCAGCUCUGACAACCCCAAAAGGCGCAGGUGAAGGGCACCAUGGUCACCAAGACAGGUGCACUGACCUCCCCAGCACUGAUCUGUUGCUCUGACAGGAACCAAGACACCACAGGGAUUGCCAUGGAUGCUCACAGUUCCCACCUCACAUCUCCUCCUGCCAGGCAAAGCAGAGGAGGCCCUCUCCUGAUUGGAGCAGCUCCCCUUUCCAUGUCAAACUCUGGGAAGGCAACACAGCUCAUCAGGGUCCAGUGAUGGACAUGGGCCAGAAGAUCUCCCCAAGACAAAGAGCCAAACCCUGAGGACAUCAGAAAUGUGAGAGCACAACCCAACAGUGGCUCUCACACCUCCCAGACAGGCUUUGGAGGAGACUGAGCUCAGCUGGGACAGGCAGAGCCAUUCUCCCAUGGCAGGAGGAUUGAUGAUCCAAGAUGAUCCCAAAGGAUCCUUCCAAACCCCAAAAAUAUGAAAAAUACAAGCCAAAACAGGUGCAGCAAUGAAAUCACUGAUGGGGUGAAACAACUUGCCACAGGAGUCCAGUCAGUGUGUAGUUGGCUUCUCCCCCAUCAUCACUCAAGAAGUUUCUGGCACUUCCAAAACUCUGAGGAGACUCACUGGGAAUGAUGCAAGUAUUGGAUCACUGUCCACCCUGGCAGGAUCCUUCACAGAGGAGGCACCACAGCAGACAAAGGCCUGAACAUUACAUCCCCUGCAGCUCCUCACACAGUGGGGACAUGGGGACAGCAGGGACAAGCAGCACCUGGAUGAGUGCUGGAGCUGAUGUGAUUCCCUGGGCCCUGCCCUUCCUGCCAGCAGUGCAAGGAGGACGGGUGGCCUUGGAGCUACAGAGCAUUUCUGGGUCUGUAAAUCCAUUCCUCGUCUCAGAAGCUGAUUGAUCCUUUUUUUUAAACUCGGAUUCAAUGUUUAAGAGUAAUGAUUUUCAAGUGAACACAGAGUGGCUCAGAUAUAUUGGCAGUUCUUAUGGAUCAGAGGCAAAAGGCUUAUAAUUCAAACUUUAACAAAGAGGAACGUGUCUGUCCCCAUCUCAGAACAAUGGCAAGGGCUGAUGGAAGGGCAAAAAACCUUUCAUGGGUGAUGCCCAAUGAUUUAUGCCAGACCAUGGGCUGACUGGGAUGUUCCCACAGAGAUGUCCUUGGGAUGCAGGCAAAUUUAUUGAUGAGA